rnacentral:rRNA from 1 species
UAGGGAAUCUUCGGCAAUGGACGAAAGUCUGACCGAGCAACGCCGCGUGAGUGAAGAAGGUUUUCGGAUCGUAAAACUCUGUUGGUAGAGAAGAACGUUGGUGAGAGUGGAAAGCUCAUCAAGUGACGGUAACUACCCAGAAAGGGACGGCUAACUACGUGCCAGCAGCCGCGGUAAUACGUAGGUCCCGAGCGUUGUCCGGAUUUAUUGGGCGUAAAGCGAGCGCAGGUGGUUUAUUAAGUCUGGUGUAAAAGGCAGUGGCUCAACCAUUGUAUGCAUUGGAAACUGGUAGACUUGAGUGCAGGAGAGGAGAGUGGAAUUCCAUGUGUAGCGGUGAAAUGCGUAGAUAUAUGGAGGAACACCGGUGGCGAAAGCGGCUCUCUGGCCUGUAACUGACACUGAGGCUCGAAAGCGUGGGGAGCAAACAGGAUUAGAUACCCUGGUAGUCCACGCCGUAAACGAUGAGUGCUAGAUGUAGGGAGCUAUAAGUUCUCUGUAUCGCAGCUAACGCAAUAAGCACUCCGC